UACAUGGGGUGCAAACGUUGCUCGGAAUUAUUGGGCGUAAAGCGCACGUAGGCGGUCCGUUAAGUCGGAUGUGAAAGCCCCCGGCUCAACCGGGGAAGUGCAUCCGAAACUGGCAGGCUAGAGUACGAAAGAGGAUCGCGGAAUUCCCGGUGUAGAGGUGAAAUGCGUAGAUAUCGUAAGGAAGACCAGUGGCGAAGGCGGGUCUCUGGACAGUUCCUGACGCUGAGGCACGAAGGCCAGGGGAGCAAACGGG
rnacentral:rRNA from 1 species